GGGCCCGCACAAGCAGCGGAGCGUGUUGCUUAAUUCGAUGCAACGCGAAGAACCUUACCAGGGCUUGACAUCCUGCGAACCUCUGGGAAACCGGAGGGUGCCUUCGGGAACGCAGUGACAGGUGGUGCAUGGCUGUCGUCAGCUCGUGUCGUGAGAUGUUGGUUAAGUCCCGCAACGAGCGCAACCCACGUCUUUAGUUGCCAGCAUUUAGUUGGGCACUCUAGAGAGACCGCCGGUGACAAACCGGAGGAAGGUGUGGAUGACGUCAAGUCAUCAUGCCCCUUACGUCCUGGCUACACACGUACUACAAUGCUACGGACAAAGGGCAGCAAGUUCGCGAGGACAAGCA
rnacentral:rRNA from 1 species